UCUAGGAUCUUCCCUGGUCGAUGGUGUUGUUUAAGAGUAACAUGCCUGUGUCAGCAUUUGAUUUCCAAACGGACUUUAUGGACACGAUGAAGAGUAUCAACGAAAUGCUUAUGCCGCCAGGAAGCAACACCAGAGAACAAAACUCUGAGCAGGUGCCAAUAAAACCAGUUGUGUCAGACCCAAUUGGAAGGACUGUAAACAAAUAAGGCAAACCAUUCCGUACUAUUUCACACCGGCUCCAAUAGUGCUGGAAUGACUGAACAACGACACUUACUCGGCAAAGCAGCAGACCUAGCUGAGGACGUGGUCUCGACGAAAGACCGUGGAUACGGGGAUUCCUGGUCCGCAGCACUCAGUAGCGCGAAACGAGGUAGAGUGAAUCUUACGGACAAAGUAAUUUUUCUCGCACUCCAUCGGAAGUCGUAAUGGUAAGCGAACGAGCCGUGGGGAAAAACACGGCCGUGGGAGUUCGCAACGAGGCUAGUUACCCGGCGAUGCAACGAGUUAUCGACGAGCUGGUGGGGGAACUGAUCCGAACGGUUGCCUUUGAGCCAUCCCAAAGUUCGCACAGCGUGCCGAGUGGCGGAUGAGCGUGGAUUACCGGUGCAAUGCGUAUUCAAUCCCAGAAAAAACACAUUUUGGAACGUUAACGAAGAAAGGGAAAGCGGUGUCUUGGGGUACGAAACAGGAGGCAGCGUUGGAUAAAGUCAAGAUGACAGCCCCGGUUUUUGCACUGCAGAAGGCCAUGAGAGACGCGCGGUUACGUAGACGAUCGGUGAAGAAUAACGGGCAAUCCCGUGCGCCAGCCGAAAACUUUAAAAGGCAGAGAUCAACUAUUUAGCCACAGAAAACUCAAUUGUUGCUGCUUCCUUUGUUAUAUGUGCUGGAGUUCAUGUGCUUGAUUUUGCGUUUGCAGACCAACCUUAUUUAUUAAAGAUUUAUUGUAAGACAAUAAUAAAAGCUUAAAAUAA